rnacentral:rRNA from 1 species
GACGAACGCUGGCGGCGUGCUUAACACAUGCAAGUCGAACGAUGAAGCCGGAGCUUGCUCUGGUGAAUUAGUGGCGAACGGGUGAGUAACACGUGAGUAACCUGCCCUUGACUCUGGGAUAACUGCUAGAAAUGGUAGCUAAUACCGGAUACGACCCUCGGAGGCAUCUCCAGGGGGUGGAAAGAAUUUCGGGCAAGGAUGGACUCGCGGCCUAUCAGCUAGUUGGGGAGGUAACGGCUCACCAAGGCGACGACGGGUAGCCGGCCUGGGAGGAUGACCGGCCACACUGGGACUGAAACACGGCCCAGACUCCUACGGGAGUCAGCAGUGGGGAAUAUUGCACAAUGCGCGCAAGCCUGAUGCAGCAUCGCCGCGUGAGGGAUGACGGCCUUCGGGUUGUAAACCUCUUUUAGUAGGGAAGAAGCGAAAGUGACGGUACCUGCAGAAAAAGCACCGGCUAACUACUUGCCAGCCGCCGCCGUAA